rnacentral:lncRNA from 1 species
NNCCUUCAUAUGCAAAAUUUUUAAAAGACUUGUGCACUGUCAAGAGGAAACUUAAUGUUCAACAGAAAGCAUUUUUGACAGAGAAUGUGAGCUCAAUCAUUCAACAAAACACUCCACCUAAAUUCAAAGAUCCUGGUUGUCCAACAAUUUCUUGUGUGAUUGGGAAUAACAGGAUAGAGCGUGCUUUGCUUGAUCUUGGUGCUAGUGUUAAUCUAUUACCUUUUUCUGUGUAUGAGCAACUUGGUUUGGGAGAGCUUAAACCAACAACAACAACACUUCAACUUGCUGAUCGUUCAGUAAAAGUUCCAAGAGGGGUUGUAGAGGAUGUUCUAGUUCAAAUUGAUAAAUUCUAUUUUCCUGUUGAUUUUAUAGUUUUGGACACACAUCCUGUUUUAAAUUCAAAUGCACAAAUACCCGUCAUUCUAGGACGUCCCUUUCUUGCUACUUCAAAUGCGUUGAUAAAUUGUAGCAUUGUUGUCUUA